rnacentral:lncRNA from 1 species
CCAGGCCCAGCCUCGCUGACGGUUUUCUGUUUCAUCUGGGACGUUAACAGUUUUAGGUCUCUGAAGCUGAACAGUCACUGUGACAUAGAGGAAUCCCCCAAGUCCUGAUUGAAGCACUUGAAGACUCCUGACCCCACAUCCCUGCUUUAUCCUGUGGGUCAUUGCACACCUCACCUGGAGCAUGGACUGUACUUUUGUGUCAUAAUCCCAAUACAUACCUGUCUACACAACACUUCAGACGCUAAUUCUACAAAGGUUUUCCUACGGAGCCCCGUGG